UUAAAAGUUUGGUCCCAGCUUUAAUGUCAACUUUAAUUAACCUUACACAUGCAAGUUUCCGCCCACCAGUGACAACGCCCUCAUAAAAUACAUUGGAGCUGAUAUCAGGCACAACAAUUGUUAGCCUAUUACAUCUAGUUCCCACCACACCCUCAAUGGGCCUGCAGCAGUGAUAAACAUUGAUCAAUAAGCACCAGCUUGACUCAGCCAUAAUUAAUUAGAGUUGGUAUAUCUUGUGCCAGCCACCGCGGUUAUACAAGAAACUCAAGUUGACAUUCCACGGCGUAAAGUGUGACUAAGAGAAAUUUAAACAACUAAGACUAAAAACCCACUAAGCUGUCACACGCACUAGUAAAGUAACACACUCAACAUACAACGAAAGUGGUCUUAACACACUAAACCUUUCAAAACUCACGACCGCUGACACACAAACUGGGAUUAGAUACCCCACUAUGUUCAGCCACAAAACUUGAAUACCUACACUAAACCACCCGCCAGAGCAUUACGAGCAACAGCUUAAAACUCAAAGGACUUGGCGGUGCCCCACAUCCCUCCAGAGGAGCCUGUUCUAUAAUCGAUAACCCACGCUGAACCUCACCACCAUUUGACAACCCAGCCUAUAUACCACCGUCACCAGCCUGCCUUAUGAAAGAACUAAAGCAAGCAAAAACGAAGAUACCAAACACGCCAGGUCAAGGUGUAGCAUAUAUGGUGGGAAGAAAUGGGCUACAUUUUCUUUCAAAGAAUAUACGAAUGAUAAACUGAAACCACAUCUGAAGGCGGAUUUGAUAGUAAAAAUGGAUAAUAAUGCCAUUCUAAACCAGGCCCUGGGGCGCGCACACACCGCCCGUCACCCUCAUCAACCCAUCCACCUAAAUUUAAUUAAACCACCAAAAAUAAACUUUAGACGAGGUAAGUCGUAACAUGGUAAGCGCACUGGAAAGUGCUCUUGGAUUAC
rnacentral:ncRNA from 1 species